AGCGAACGCUGGCGGCAUGCCUAACACAUGCAAGUCGCACGGGGGGCUUCGGCCUCCCAGUGGCGGACGGGUGAGGAACGCGUAGGGACCUGUCGAGGGGUGGGGGCUAACCGCGGGAAACUGCGGCUAAUACCGCAUGACGCCGCGGCGUGACAGCCGGGGCCAAAUGCGAACGCCGCCCGCCGAGGGGCCUGCGUCCGAUUAGCUGGUUGGCCGGGUAGCGGCCCACCAAGGCGUCGAUCGGUAGCUGGGCUGAGAGGGUGAUCAGCCACACCGGGACUGAGACACGGCCCGGAAUCCUACGGGAGGCAGCAGUGGGGAAUAUUGGACAAUGGGCGCAAGCCUGAUCCAGCAAUGCCGCGUGGGUGAAGAAGGUCUUCGGAUUGUAAAGCCCUUUCGGCGGGGACGAUGGUGACGGUACCCGCAGAAGAAGCCCCGGCUAACUUCGUG
rnacentral:rRNA from 1 species